rnacentral:rRNA from 1 species
AGCGAACGCUGGCGGCAGGCUUAACACAUGCAAGUCGAGCGCCCGGGCAACCGGGAGCGGCAGACGGGAGAGUAACACGUGGGAACGUGCCCUUCAGUUCGGAACAACCCAGGGAAACUUGGGCUAAUACCGGAUAAGCCCUUACGGGGAAAGAUUUAUCGCUGAAGGAUCGGCCCGCGUCUGAUUAGCUAGUUGGUGGGGUAAUGGCCCACCAAGGCGACGAUCAGUAGCUGGUCUGAGAGGAUGAUCAGCCUCACUGGGACUGAGACACGGCCCAGACUCCUACGGGAGGCAGCAGUGGGAAUAUUGGACAAUGGGCGCAAGCCUGAUCCAGCCAUGCCGCGUGGGUGA